AUGAUAGAGACGCCACCUCUCCUUACCUCGUCCCAUAUUUGGGUCGUCGAGCCGACGGGGAUGAGGGAAGAGGCAGCCGCAGCAGGCGCAGUGCUGGCAAACGCGAGCAGCAGCCACAACAGGCGGCAGUGCUGGCGAAUCGGAUGUCCAUGGUGCGUCAACCAUGAAAGAUGCAGAAGAAAAAAUCAUGUUGAUAAAAGCACACACACCCACCAGGUUCAGGUUGCUGUGACUGUGAGUCAUCAUCCCAGGAGCAGCACAUGUGGUAGCGGAAGGAGUCGGGCGCCAAGGAUGGAGGCGAAGGAGCGCGGACACCCAGCUAUGGUGGUGCUGAUGGAUGAAGAAGAUGGGGGCGAAGGGAAAAAUAAAGUCCUUUGGGUGGUGAAGGCAGAAGAUCGCUCGCAUCCCCCAUCCGUUUUAUGUGCGUUCCUUGUGGGGAAAUUGAUUGCGGGGAGAAGGGAAGAAGAUGGGAAUCGUGAAGGGCUGGAAGACAUACGCCAUUGGCAGGCGGGCCUUCUCGUAUGCCAGAAGAAUAAUGCAUCUCGCAUGAAAAAAAGACCGACUGGUUGCUGUUUGGAAACUGAUUUGUGA
rnacentral:rRNA from 1 species